CUAUAUGCAAAUUGGAUAAAAUAUAAAUGCUAUAAGAUUUCGCAUUUAAUUUGUAAGAUUGUGGAAUCAUCGACAGAAAGAACUGCAGUGCCGUUUUUAGAGAGGAAAUGAUAUUGUACCAUAGCCUCCUUUUAUUUUUGGUAUCCAGUGUAAAUGCGCAAUUUACUCCACCACCAGUACUGGCGCCAUGGAUAUGUGGCAAUUUUAGGUGCCCAGAAGGAUAUUAUUGUGUAAACGGCGUAAGAUGUGAACCACCUGUUC